AACCCAUGGUGAGGGAACCUUCUCAAUAAGUUCUUAUACCUCUCCCAUACAUCGUAUAGGGUCUAUAAAUCCAUUUGUAUGAAGGAAGAGAUAUCAUUCCUCAGCUU
rfam:Gossypium hirsutum cultivar TM-1 chromosome 14, whole genome shotgun sequence